AUUGAACGCUGGCGGCAUGCCUUACACAUGCAAGUCGAACGGUAGGGGGGCAACCCCUGAGAGUGGCGAACGGGUGAGUAAUGCAUCGGAACGUGCCCAGUUGUGGGGGAUAACGUAGCGAAAGCUACGCUAAUACCGCAUACGACCUGAGGGUGAAAGGGGGGGAUCGCAAGACCUCUCGCCAUUGGAGCGGCCGAUGUCAGAUUAGCUAGUUGGUGGGGUAAAAGCCUACCAAGGCGACGAUCUGUAGCUGGUCUGAGAGGACGACCAGCCACACUGGGACUGAGACACGGCCCAGACUCCUACGGGAGGCAGCAGUGGGGAAUUUUAGACAAUGGACGCAAGUCUGAUCCAGCCAUGCCGCGUGCAGGAAGAAGGCCUUCGGGUUGUAAACUGCUUUUGUCAGGGAAGAAAUCCCUUGGGAUAAUACCUCGGGGGGAUGACGGUACCUGAAGAAUAAGCACCGGCUAACUACGUGCCAGCCGCCGCAGUAAGAC
rnacentral:rRNA from 1 species